ACUCCUACGGGAGGCAGCAGUGGGGAAUAUUGCACAAUGGGGGAAACCCUGAUGCAGCCAUGCCGCGUGUGUGAAGAAGGCCUUGGGUUGUAAAGCACUUUCAGUAGGGAGGAAGGUAGUGUAGUUAACACCUGCAUUAUUUGACGUUACCUACAGAAGAAGCACCGGCUAACUCCGUGCCAGCAGCCGCGGUAAUACGGAGGGUGCGAGCGUUAAUCGGAAUUACUGGGCGUAAAGCGCAUGCAGGCGGCCUGUUAAGUCAGAUGUGAAAGCCCGGGGUCUUAACCUCGGAAUUGCAUUUGAAACUGGCAGGCUAGAGUCUGUAGAGGGGUAGAAUUUCAGGUGUAGCGGUGAAAUGCGUAGAGAUCUGAAGGAAUACCAGUGGCGAAGGCGGCCCCUGGACAAAGACUGACGCUCAGAUGCGAAAGCGUGGGAGCAAACAGGAUUAGAUACCCCGUGGUAGACUGUCA
rnacentral:rRNA from 1 species